rnacentral:tRNA from 1 species
GGGGUUGUAGCUCAGUGGUAGAGCACACGCCUGUCAUGCAUGAGGCACUGGGUUCAAUCCUCAGCACUA